rnacentral:rRNA from 1 species
UACGAAGGGGGCUAGCGUUGCUCGGAAUCACUGGGCGUAAAGCGCACGUAGGCGGGUCUUUAAGUCAGGGGUGAAAUCCUGGAGCUCAACUCCAGAACUGCCUUUGAUACUGAGGAUCUCGAGUCCGGGAGAGGUGAGUGGAACUCCGAGUGUAGAGGUGAAAUUCGUAGAUAUUCGGAAGAACACCAGUGGCGAAGGCGACUUACUGGACACAUAUUGACGCUGAGGUGCGAAAGCGUGGGGAGCAAACAGG